rnacentral:rRNA from 1 species
UACGAAGGGGGCUAGCGUUGUUCGGAAUUACUGGGCGUAAAGCGUGCGCAGGCGGCUAUCCAAGUCAGUGGUGAAAGCCCGGAGCUCAACUCCGGAAUUGCCAUUGAAACUGUUUAGCUCGAGUACGAGAGAGGUGAGUGGAAUUCCCAGUGUAGAGGUGAAAUUCGUAGAUAUUGGGAAGAACACCGGUGGCGAAGGCGGCUCACUGGCCCGAUACUGACGCUGAGGCACGAAAGCGUGGGGAGCAAACAGG